CCGAGACGUCGGCGGCCCGGCCCAGGCUCGGCGUGCACACCCGCGAGCUGCGCCUUUCGAGAGGACUAUUUAUCUGUACUCCUCGGAACAAACCACCCCAGGCCAAGAAGAAGGGGUUGGAAAGGGGGGCAAGAGAACUUGAAGCUAAGCCGCAGAGAUAGAUGCUGAGUAAAGGACCCCAAAUCUCCAGGCUGCGAGAGAACCACAACUGUGCGUGAAGAACUUGCCUCAAAUCAUUGGGUUUGGCUUCUCCUAUCAAACUUUCCCCAAGGUUUUCCAAAGCUGGAGCAGACUUCCAUUCUUCCUGAACCACACCUUGAUCAGGAGACUUUGAUUAACAUGACAGAGAAUUGUGUCCUGUGUACUUAGAAGAGGACGUGGGCUCUCAUCUUCUCCAAGAAAGUGAAAAGACCGUUUUCA